GACGAACCGGACAAACGUUAUUCGGAAUUACUGGGCUUAAAGGGUGCGUAGGCGGCGCAGAAAGUAGGGUGUGAAAUCCCUCGGCUUAACCGAGGAACUGCGCUCUAAACUACUGUGCUAGAGGAAGAUAGAGGUGAGCGGAACUUAGGGUGGAGCGGUGAAAUGCGUUGAUAUCCUAAGGAACACCGGUGGCGAAAGCGGCUCACUGGGUCUUCUCUGACGCUGAGGCACGAAAGCUAGGGGAGCGAACGGG
rnacentral:rRNA from 1 species